rnacentral:rRNA from 1 species
CCUACGGGAGGCAGCAGUGGGGAAUAUUGCACAAUGGGGGAAACCCUGAUGCAGCGACGCCGCGUGAGUGAAGAAGUAUUUCGGUACGUAAAGCUCUAUCAGCAGGGAAGAAAAUGACGGUACCUGACUAAGAAGCCCCGGCUAACUACGUGCCAGCAGCCGCGGUAAUACGUAGGGGGCAAGCUUUAUCCGGAUUUACUGGGUGUAAAGGGAGCGUAGACGGCAGCGCAAGUCUGGAGUGAAAUCCCAUGGCUUAACCAUGGAACUGCUUUGGAAACUGUGCAGCUAGAGUGCAGGAGAGGUAAGCGGAAUUCCUAGUGUAGCGGUGAAAUGCGUAGAUAUUAGGAGGAACACCAGUGGCGAAGGCGGCUUACUGGACUGUAACUGACGUUGAGGCUCGAAAGCGUGGGGAGCAAACAGGAUUAGAUACCCCUGUAGUC